rnacentral:rRNA from 1 species
UACGAAGGGGCUAGCGUUGCUCGGAAUCACUGGGCGUAAAGCGCACGUAGGCGGAUUGUUAAGUCAGGGGUGAAAUCCUGGAGCUCAACUCCAGAACUGCCUUGAUACUGGCGAUCUUGAGUCCGGAGAGGUGAGUGGAACUCCGAGUGUAGAGGUGAAAUUCGUAGAUAUUCGGAAGAACACCAGUGGCGAAGGCGGCUCACUGGCCCGUACUGACGCUGAGGUGCGAAGCGUGGGAGCAACAGG